AUGAUCACAGUGGUUUGGGUGUUGAUCCUAGCAGUUUCAGUCUAUUCUGCCUUCAUUUGGAAGAACCGGCAGAACCCGGUACAUCAACUGACUCUUGAGACCCUGGAGAGAGUUAGAGACAUAUUGGAGCGUUCAACAUCAAUGGAUGAGGGCAUGAGAACAGGCUUCCAAGUGCUCUUACAGAAAUUUUAUGAAGAACCCCCAUGGGUGAUGAAAAACGCUCAUGUGAUCCUCAAAGGGAAUGAUGGAAAAGAAGUGGAGUUUGCAGCAGGGAAGAGAGAAUGGAAGAUCGUCAUCUGUGCUGGUGGUAUCCAUUAUCAGGUAACAGGCCCAUCCGCAGAGCUGGAUGAGGCCAGAAGAGGUUUUCUGCAUCAACCCCUAAGCGUUGAAAACCUAGAGAGAGUGAGGAGCACAUUGGAAGAUCAUGGAUUGUUGGAUGAAGGGCUGAGAGUCUGCUUUCUUGUGGCCAUUCAGAACUUCCCCAAAGAACCCUCGUAUGUGAAGAACAAUGCCCAGAUGGUCCUCAAGGGCAAUGAUGGGAAGGAAUUUGAGUUUGGCUCUGGGAACCAAGAGUGGAAGAUCCGUAUUUUUGCUGGUGACUGGAACUACCAUGUGACAGCCCCAUCUGCACGCAUGUAUCUGACCAGAUUACGCUCUCAGCCACAGCCACUCAGCAUCCAAACUUUAGAAGAAGUGAGAGAUGGCUUGGAGAAAUGGAAGGUGUUAACUCCCACCCUGAACGACUGCUUUGAGUUGGCCAUUCGAGAGUUCUCCAGAGAACCUAAUGCCAUAAAAAACAAUGCCCAGAUGGUCAUUCAUUUUGAUGAGAAUUGGAGGAACCUGGAAUUUAAAGCAGGGAAUGGAGAUAACAAGUUCUGUGUUACAAGUAGUAAUGGGGAUCCUCACUACCAGGUGAUGGAAACGGCCUCAGAUACAUGUUUGGAGCAAUUAUGUCAUGUGCCAGUGGCAAUGCGAGCUGAGAAAGUUAUAGAAGUGCGCAACACAUUGGCCGGACAAAGCUUGCUAUCUGAGAAUCUAAACUUGUGUUUUGAGCACAUGGUGAGUGAAUUGCCAAAGUAUCCAAAGCUCUUCUCUAAGAGACCCGAAAUGUACAUCAUGUGGAAUGAAUCAAGUUUACUUCUUGUCUCACCCCAAGGAGACUGUGAGAUCUCAGUACAUUGUGAUAAGGGAACAGCAAAGUGCAUAGUCAAUGUGAACAGCUUGGAGCUCAACAACAACUGGGAGAUAUUCUGGGAGAGAAUCAAGCACCAGACACAUCCACUAUCCAUUAAAACACUGGAAGAAAUGAGAACCAAAGUCAGAAGUAUGCCAGGAAUCCCAAAUCACAUUGUGGAAAAAUUCAACAUAGCCUUCCAAGGUUUUUGCAAUGAGAUUAAGUGCUUGCAAAAUAAUGCCCGGCUUGUCAUUGAGUGUGAUGACGGGGAGAUAGUUUUCCUGUCUGGUAAAGGAAAAAACAAAAUUGAUAUUUGCUUUAAAAAUGGAACAAUCACUUACUCUGUACAGUCAUCCAAUUUGAAAGUGCAGGCAAUCAAGAUGUUUCGUAAAAUUCAUGGUGUUAUUUUACCACUUCUGCCACAUCUUCUUAAAUUGGCAUUUACGUUACUUUGA
rnacentral:lncRNA from 1 species